rnacentral:rRNA from 1 species
AAUAGAUACCCGGGUAGUCCACGCCGUAAACGAUGAGUGCUAAGUGUUAGAGGGUUUCCGCCCUUUAGUGCUGAAGUUAACGCAUUAAGCACUCCGCCUGGGGAGUACGGCCGCAAGGCUGAAACUCAAAGGAAUUGACGGGGGGCCCGCACAAGCGGUGGAGCAUGUGGUUUAAUUCGAAGCAACGCGAAGAACCUUACCAGGUCUUGACAUCCUCUGACAACCCUAGAGAUAGGGCUUCUCCUUCGGGAGCAGAGUGACAGGUGGUGCAUGGUUGUCGUCAGCUCGUGUCGUGAGAUGUUGGGUUAAGUCCCGCAACGAGCGCAACCCUUGAUCUUAGUUGCCAUCAUUAAGUUGGGCACUCUAAGGUGACUGCCGGUGACAAACCGGAGGAAGUGGGGAUGACGUCAAAUCAUCAUGCCCCUUAUGACCUGGGCUACACACGUGCUACAAUGGACGGUACAAAGAGCUGCAAGACCGCGAGGUGGAGCUAAUCUCAUAAAACCGUUCUCAGUUCGGAUUGUAGGCUGCUAACCG